rnacentral:tRNA from 1 species
GGGCAGAUACUCAAGUGGUCAACGAGGGCAGACUGUAAAUCUGCUGCGCUUGCGCUACGGAGGUUCAAAUCCUUCUCUGCCCACCA